GCUGGGUACGGUGGCGCAUGCCUGUAGUCCCAGCUAUUCGAGAGGCUGAGGCUGGAGGAUCACUUGAGUCCAGGAGUUCUGGGCUGUAGUGGCUAUGCUGAUCGGGUGUCCGCACUAAGUUCAGCAUCAAUAUGGUGACCUCCCGGGAGUGGGGGGCCACCAGGUUGUCUAAGGAGGGGUUAACCGGCCCAGGUCAGAAACGGAGCAGGUCAAAACUCCCAUGCUGAUCAGUAGUGGGAUCACGCCUGUGAAUAGCCACUGCACUCCAGCCUGGGCAAUAUAGUGAGACCCCAUCUCU
rnacentral:SRP_RNA from 1 species